rnacentral:rRNA from 1 species
UACGGAGGGUGCAAGCGUUAUCCGGAUUCACUGGGUUUAAAGGGUGCGUAGGUGGGCAGGUAAGUCAGUGGUGAAAUCUCUGGGCUUAACCCGGAAACUGCCGUUGAUACUAUCUGUCUUGAAUAUAGUGGAGGUGAGCGGAAUAUGUCAUGUAGCGGUGAAAUGCUUAGAUAUGACAUAGAACAUCGAUUGCGAAGGCAGCUUACUACACAAUGAUUGACGCUGAGGCACGAAAGCGUGGGGAUCAAACAGG